GGAGGUAAAAGUCGCAACAAGGUUUCCGUAGGUGAACCUGCGGAAGGAUCAUUAUUGUAUAACCGAGGUGCGAGGGCUGUCGCUGACCCGAAAGGUCGUGCACGCCCGAGUGCCCUCACACACAUCCAUCUCACCCCUAUGUGCACCACCGCGUGGGUCCCCCUUUGGCUUGUUCGGAGGGGGGCUUACGUUUUCACACAAACUUUGUAUGCAGUGUAGAAUGUAUUUUUUGUUUUUGCGAUCACGCAAUCAAUACAACUUUCAACAACGGAUCUCUUGGCUCUC
rnacentral:misc_RNA from 1 species